GUAUGCGUACUUCUGAAUUGAUAAAUUUUUAUUUUUGCAAUCCAUUUAUACUCUGGUGAUGGAUUUAAAUUUUUUUUGAAAGUUGGAUGAUAUUGACCAUAGACAAACCAGAAAAUAUCGAGUUUCAUUUUUGGUGUAUGAUACUUACCGUAGACUUAACAAAAAAUAUCAAGUUUUAUUAAUGCAGACUCGAAUCUUUUAUGAUUACCUACGUACCCAGAUCUCGGAACCAAAGUCAGCGUAGUUCAAAAUUGAUAAAUUUAGUCUGGUUUUUUAUUUCAUUAACACCCUGGUGCACGAGUUGAAUUCUUUUGAAAGUUUGG
rnacentral:lncRNA from 1 species